rnacentral:rRNA from 1 species
UACGUAGGCAGCAAGCGUUGUUCGGAGUUACUGGGCGUAAAGAGUGUGUAGGCGGUUCUCUAAGUUCGGUGUGAAAUCUCCCGGCUCAACUGGGAGGGUGCGCCGGAAACUGGAGGGCUUGAGUAUGGGAGAGGAAAGCGGAAUUCCUGGUGUAGCGGUGAAAUGCGUAGAUAUCAGGAGGAACACCUGCGGCGAAGGCGGCAUCCUGGACCGACACUGACACUGAGGAGCGAAAGCCAGGGGAGCAAACGGG